UACAGAGGGGGCAAGCGUUGUUCGGAAUUACUGGGGCGUAAAGGGCGCGUAGGCGGCCUUCUAAGUCGAACGUGAAAUCCCCGGGCUCAACCCGGGAACGCGUCCGAUACUGGAAGGCUUGAAUCCGGGGAGAGGGAUGUGGAAUUCCAGGUGUAGCGGUGAAAUGCGUAGAUAUCUGGAGGAAUACCGGUGGCGAAAGGCGGCAGAUCCUGGGACCCGG
rnacentral:rRNA from 1 species